CUGAAAUCAAGUGUGAUUACCCCCUGAAUUUAAGCAUAU
rnacentral:rRNA from 1 species